AUAUGAUAAGCUAGAGCCACCUGGGUUUUAUUGGGCUACUCCAUGCUUUGAUCACAACUUUAUUUAAAGAGGUGUCUGUUUACAACAUCAGUGUUCCUUGUCAUCACUGUGAUUUAGAUUUUAAUCUGACGCAAUACAAAGAGGAAUUGCAAAAAUCAAGACAGUACUCAAAUGGGAAACUGGUAUGGGAGAGAUGCUAGUUCAAUGUGUCAACCUGGGAACAAAAGCACCUGUUUAAACAAGACCUGUAAUCUGAAAGAGCAGUAGAUGACUUUCAGUCGAUGUGGGACACAUCAUGCUGUGGAGAGAGUGGUAAUAACUCAGGCUUGCUGGCAGCAGACAGAGGAGUUUACAUGGAAUGGGGUGCUGUCAUCUUGGAUGGAGGGAUCAGGGUAGCCGUCAGUAAGGCCAUGUGUGUGGUGGUUUGGUGCAGCUGUGUCCCUUAGGAACUCGUGUCACAAAGAGGCACAGCUGUAGGCCUGGUGCACGGCUCUGCAAUGCACUUCUGGUCCAGCCUUGCGUUCCCAGCAGAGCCCUUUGCACAAUGCAGACAUGCUCCUUAAGAUUUCCCUUUUCUUGCAUUUAAAUGGCACUUAAACAUGAAAGGAGGAGCACUUGGGUCCAGCCUUUGAUCGUGCUCAUACUUGCUAGCCAAUUAAUAAAAUCUGAUCCAUCUUAAUAACUUGAAUAGGGGAAAGAUCUGUUUUUAUUCUUUCUAUUGAUAAAAUUUUGAUACAGUUCUGCACCUAUGAAAUAAAGCCAUCACUAUAUACAAGUUAUGUAGGUUAUAACUCUUUGAGGCUUUGCUGAUUGGCAGAGGUAGGAGAGCUGCUUGUUUGGUGGUGUCUGGGUAUUGGUUUGGUCGUGGAUACUUGAGCAUAUUAUUGAGCCUCAAACGACACUGCUUUUCUUGCAGAGUUAUCUGCUGCUGAAAAUUCCCUCUCCCCUGCCUUCCCCCCUUUUUAGUAUUACAGCUGUGUAACAACUAGUGUUAUAUAGUAAUGGUGACAGUAGUUCUUAAUUGGGAUUGAUUCUGUUGUGUGCUUUUGUUUUCUUCAGUGUAGAGAGGCUGAAGGGACAUUUGAUGAAAUCUCUCUAAAGAAAAAUGGUGUUGCCCAGUAUUUUUUCCUGUGUCCCGGGUGGUUGCAAGAAGAAGCAGCGGGUUCAACUUGUAUUAAGGAAGUUCUCAUCCUUGUGUCACUAUGCUUUUACUCACUUUCAAAGCUUAAGAGAACCUCUGAACAUGUGUCUACAGAAGAUGCUGGACUGCCUUGGUGGACUGAGGUCCCGUCACUCCUCCUGGUGCCCAGCUGGUGCGUCCCCGGUGCCGCCGCGCGCUCCAGGCUGAGGUCCUGCUCGCGCUUCACCCAGCUGCACUUCCAGCCAGAUCUGUAGCCAAGCCCUUGCUUGUACAGGUGUGAACUGGGAAGUGCUGUAUAAAUGGGGACAGAUGGUCUACCCUGGGGCUAUCUGGAUCUAGACUGUGUGUUUAAGGGGCUUUCACUUCUCUCUCAUCAAUGGGUUUAUUUUUGUCUGGAUCAAGUCUCAAAUGUGGUGCUCUUCUUAAGGUUAAAAAGGUGUUGGUGGAAAGAAGCAAAUGUUAGUGGUCAAUUUUUAUAUUCAAGUGUCAAAGCAUAAUAUUAAUGUACACUCCCAAUCCCCAUUAAGUCAUUAAGUUACUUCCACUAUACUUGUAAGUCUUUCAGCCAAAUAUGUGUGUUUUAAAUAUGGAAAUACAUUGAUAAAAUUAUUUGUUUAUUAAAAAAUAGUCAUUGUCAUUUCUAACAGCACAUUUUUGGAUAGGCCUUUUUUAGGAAAGGUGUUGCUAAUGUUCUGGGCCUUCAGCUCAAGUAGACUUUUUGGUUUUAUUUCUUUGUAACAUAUUGGAGAUCUUUGGCUCAGCUAAAGGCCUAUCUGUGUUUUUGAAGAUUACAGCUAACAGUUAUAGUUAGUGUUACUGCAGCUCUCCAGGUUACAGGUUGCCGGAAGUGCCUGAUACCCCUCCCCAAGGCUGGAGCCAACAGUUCUUUUGCAGAAGGCGUGCUGUGGUUUAAGAGCUGUGUCACCAGGUGAAGGAACUACAGGAGGAAGUGAAUAGGUUACUUAGUACUUCAGCAAAGGAGCAAGAGAUUGACCUUUUUUUUCAGAGACACUAUGGUCUCAGACUCUUGGGAGUCUUAAAUCUCCAUUGUAGAGGAAAAGCAGAUGGAUUCAGAGCCCUGCAGGGUAAUUAGUCAAAGGACUGUUAGUCAAGGGCCUGUUCAUGAUGAAGGCUGGAAGCAGGUCACUGUACAUAGCAGGAGGAAGGUUCCUCCUUGGAAUUUGACAAGUAGGACUGACACCUUCUGCAAAGGUGUGAGGCUCUGGAACUAGAAGGCCAGACAGCUGAUGAGGUGAGUGAAGGUCUUUCUGGGAUAGUGGGGCCUCCUGAAGUAACACCACCUCCAUCCUCUGUCACAGCCUCCUCUCUUAACAAAAGAAGUGGGGCAGUUGCAAUAGGAGACUCCCUUCUAAGGGGUACAGAGGGCCCAGUAUGUAGAGUGGACCCCACUCACAGGGAAGUCUGCUGUCUCCCAGUAAGGGACAUUACUGAAAAACUCUCCAAUCGAUUAAGCUCUCUGAUUACUAUCCACUUUGAAUGUUCAAGCUGGUGGUGAUGAAAUAACAGAAGUCUGAGCGCAAUCAAAAGAGACUUCAGGGCCCUGGGGCGAUUGGUAGAAGGAUCAGGAGUGUGGGUAGUGAUUUCCUUGAUCCUUCUGGUAACAAGGAAUAAUACUGUUAGGAAUAGGGAGAUCCAUCUGCCUCUAAGGUUGGUGUCAGUGGAAAAAUGUUGGGAUUUUUGACUGCCAGAUAGUAUACUCAACACCCAGUCUAAAGCCUGACAGGAUGCAUCUGUCUCAAAGGGGAAAAAGAGCUCUAGGACAGGAGCUAAUGGGGCUCAUUGUUAGAGCUUUAAACUAGCUCGGAAGGGAGAAAGGAACAAACAAGGCUCACCAGUGAUGAGUGAUGGGAGCGUGUGCCAAAACUUGAGGAAGGGAGUACUAGUGAAUCCCCCAAUCUGCUUUACCAGGUAUUGGUUACAAUCUACAACACUCAGAAUGUUUCUGCACUAAUAUAUGCAACAUGAGGAACAAACAAGAGGAGCUUCAGGCUUUGUCCCAGUCCCAGAGACUUGAUAUUACUGGUAUAAGUGAAACCUUGGUGGGAUGAUUCCUGUGUCUGGAGUGCCCUGUUGGAUGGUUACAGGCUCUUCAGGAGAGACAGGCAGGGCAGAAGAGGCUGAGGGUUGUCAUUGUACGUAAUAGAACUCAGAGCUGGCAGUGGCACAAUUGAGAGUCUCUGUGGGAGAAUCAAGGGGCAAACAAAUAAUGCAGAUGUCAUUGUAGGAGUGUUCUGUAGACCUCCCAGCCAGGACAAUGAUGCUGAUGGAUUUAUUCUUUGAGGAACUAAGGGACACUUCCAAGUCAACUGCCCUUGUCCUUAUGGAGGGCUUUAACUUGCCAGAGAUCAACUGGGAGCAUCACACAGCUGGUACAACCUGCACCAGAAGAUUUCUAAAAAUCCUUGAUGACAGCUUGGAAGAGGUCCUAAAGGAGCUGGAAGAGGUUCUAAGGGAGCUGGAAGAAAAGUGCCAGCAAGACCCCAGCUCUGGACAUGAGGAGAGCAGACUUCAGGCUGCUCAGAGAAUUAGUGAGUAAAGUCCCCUGGGAAAAUGUUUUUGCAGAUGCUCGGGUCCAUCACAGCUGGUCACAUUUUAAACAUCACCUCCUAAGGGCACAGGAGCAGGCAAUUCUCAAAUAUUGGGAGUCAGGUAGGGGAGGCAGAAGGCCAGUUUGGCUGAGCAGGGAUCUUCUCUUGAAAAUAAGGUAAAAAAGGAAGGUACAUGCCCACUGGAAGCACAUGAAAGGAAUACAGAGAUACUGAUUGCCUCUGUAAGGAGAGAAUUUGUGUGGCCAGAAUUCAGUUGGAGUUGAAUAUGGGCAGAACUGUGGGGUACAAUAAAAAGAGUCUUUUCAAAUCUGUUAGUGGCAAAAGGCAGUGUAGAAAUAAAAUUGUCCUGUUACAGGAUAAGGAUGGUCACCUCACAAACAGGGGCAGACAUAAGGCAGAAGUGUUUAAUGCAUUCUUUGCCUCCUCAACACAGAGGAGGCUCCAAGGGAUGCCCGGAGCUGGAGGACCAUGACUGAGAGAAUGGUUAACUCCUAGUUGACCCUGAAACUGCAGGAUUUUCUGCUCCAGCUGUAUCCUUACAAUUCUGUGAUGCCUGGUGAGAUUCAUACAAGGGUCCCCAAGGAACUGGCUGAUGUCAUUGCAGAACCUCUCUUGAUUUUUGAGCUGUCUUGGGAAUCCAGAGGGGUCCUGGCUAACUGGAAGCUGGCAAACAUUAUCCUAGUUUUCAAGAAGGGCAAGAAGGAGGAGUCCAGAAACUACAGAGCUGUCAGUCUUACUUCAGUGCCUGGCAAAAUUAAGGAAAAUAUUAUUAUGAGAGAUAAAGAAAACACCGGAAAGACAAUGCGCUCGUAGGUCACAUCCAGCAUGGCUUCAUGGGAGGAAAGUCCUGGUAUCAAACCUGAUUUCCUUUCAUGUCAGGCAACUCACCUGCUUGAUUAAGGGAAGCCAGUUGUUGUAAUCUUUAUGGAUUCCAGUAAAGCUUCAGCAUUCCUGUCUCUCACAGGAUCCUUCUGGACAAAAUGUCCAGCCCACAGCUGGAUAAAGACAUCAUGGGAUGGGUGAGCAACUGGCUGAUGGGUCAGGCACAAAAGGUUAUAGUGAAUGAGGUGACAUCAGACUGACAACCUGUCACUCCUGGGGUUCUGCAGGGCUUCAUCUUGGGCUCUGUGCUCUUCAGCAUCUUCAUGAACGACUUGGACACGGGACUGCAAGGGACACUGGGCAAGUUCACAGAGGAUAGAAAACUGGGAGGAGCUGUUGACUCCCUCAGAGGCAGGGAGGUCCUGCAGAGAGACCUUGACAAAUCAGAGGACUGGGCAAUCCCAAACAAUGUAAGGUUCAGUAAAGGAAAGGGUCAGAUUCUGUGCCUGGCAUGGGGCAUCCAUGGGUGUAUGGAAAGACUGGGGAAUGAGAGGCUGGAGAGCAAUGCCCUGGAAAGGGACCUGUGGUUGCUGGUUGAUGGAAAGAUGAACAUGAGCCAGCAGUGCCUUGGCAGCCAGGAGGGCCAACCCUGUCCUGGGGGACAUCAGGGGCAGCAUCAGCAGCUGGGCAAGGGAGGGGAUUGUCCUGCUCUGCUCUGCACUGGGGCAGCCUCACCUCAAGUCCUGUGUGCAGUUCUGGGUACCACAAUAUGAAAAAGAUAUUUACUAUUAGAGAGCAUCCAAA